UUUCCGUAGGUGAACCUGCGGAAGGAUCAUUAUUGAAUGAACUUGGCGUGAUUGUAGCUGGUCCUUUCGAGGGCAUGUGCACAUCUGUCAUCUUUAUCUUUCCACCUGUGCACCAAUUGUAGGUCUAAAAAAUUUUCCCCGAGACACUCGGGGGAGCAUGGGGCGUUGCUGUGUGUUACCACCAGCUUGCCCUGCAUUUUCUAGAUCUAUGUUUUCACAUACACCAUAAAAUGUAAUAGAAUGUUAUUAUUGGGCUUUUAUUGCCUAUAAACUAUAUACAACUUUCAGCAACGGAUCUCUUGGCUCUC
rnacentral:misc_RNA from 1 species